rnacentral:lncRNA from 1 species
GGAUUAAAGCAUGAAAGUAGAUCUGUUGGUGAAAGCUCUUGAGAGGUAAAGAGACAGAGAGAAAAUGAGUGCACCAAGCACUCAGAGAGCCCUUGGCUGCAGUGAAGCCUGCCAACAUUCACACCGCCUGAACGAGGACUCGGAGAAUUAUCUCAGGCAGAAGACACAAAUCUCUUGCGUGGACAGAGUAAGUAAUGGGCCAACAGCUCUCUUUUCUUUAGCAACUACUGGGUUGGAUUUGCUAAUAAUGAAGAGGUAGACAAAAAUUAACAUUGGAAGAAGCCACUUGCAGCUGCUUACAUUUAUAGCAAAUUUAAAUUUUGUAAGUAAAUUUUAAUAUAAUUUAAGCUGAAAUCUCAACAUCAAUAUUCCUACCAAAAAAAAAAUAAAAAAUGCUCAGAGCCUUGCA